AUUGAACGCUGGCGGCAGGCUUAACACAUGCAAGUCGAGCGAGCGGCGGACGGGUGAGUAAUGUCUGGGAAACUGCCUGAUGGAGGGGGAUCACUACUGGAAACUGUAGCUGAUCCCGCAUUCCAUCGGAUGUGCCCAGAUGGGAUUAGCGAGGAGGUGGGGGAAUGGCUCACCUAGGCGACGAUCCAUAGCUGGUCUGAGAGGAUGACCAGCCACACUGUAACGGAGACACGGUCCAGACUCCUACGGGAGGCAGCAGUGGGGAAUAUUGCACAAUGGGCGAAAGCCUGAUGCAGCCAUGCCGCGUGUGUGAAGAAGGCCUUCGGGUUGUAAAGCACUUUCAGCGAGGAGGCGUUACUCGCAGAAGAAGCACCGGCUAACUCCGUGCCAGCCGCCGCGGUAAUUC
rnacentral:rRNA from 1 species